GGAGCGGAACCUGAAGCAAGGAGCAGCCCAAGUGGACUCGGCGCCUCCCCCCCGUCGGGGUCCGCGGAGGGUCUGGCCGCGGCGAGAGGUGACUGGCCGGAGGUGGCCGGCGCCUCCCUCAGCCUGGCGCAGCGGGAUGGAUAGGGAGAGCUUCCCUAGGGGCUUGCAACCCCCCACCCCACCCCCCAUCCCCACCCCCCAUCCCCCAUCCCCAGCCUUCUCAUCACCCAGCAAAGGCUGUGAUGCACCGCGGCUGCCGGGUCCUGGGCUGCGACUCAGGGACCUGGUGCCACCAAGAUGUGCCCAGGGGCAUAGUCCAGCAGAGGUCUUGUGACCUAAGAAACACCACUGGUCUCACUUUGACCAGAACAUUUUUUUCUCCUGAAAGCUGCCUCGGGCCAUGGCAGGGAGCCCAGGUUUGGAAGGGGGAGUGAAGUGUGGUGGAAUAUGCCACCCCCAAAUAUGCCUUUGAUCAUAAGGCUUAUUUUGAGCUGAUUGUUGUGACAAAAUACAGACACCGGAGAAGCUCUUGAAAAUAGUAGAAAUUACUCUUUUGAAAGGGAAACUUAACAUUUGUAGAGGAAAUAUUCAUUUGUAAGGGUGUCUCCCUCUCUGUAGUAGGAAGAGAAGCUGACUCUCAGUCACAAGAGACUCUUACCCAAUGGAGAGAGCAGUGAUUUAAAUCUGCCUAAGAAGCUUUACCCUUGUUUACCCUGCUUUUCCAGGUAACCUCCGGUUCAGACCUCACCCCACCACCCCCGCCUUUUGUUCUUUAGCUGAAGAUGUUGUUGCGGCGGCUGAGUUAGGCCCCUGGGAGGAUUGACUGUUUUUCCUCUUAUCUCAAAUAUAUAUAGGAGGUACACAUGUGAAUAAACUUUGGUUUGUAUUUCUCAUGUUAAUCUGUCUUUUAUUACAGGGGUGUCAGUCAAGAACUCAGAAGGGUAUAGGAAAAAUUAUUUUUCCGCUCCUACACGGGACACAGCUCCCAGGAGCCUAGAGGCUUCCCCCACCCCCCGCCGUGGGCACUGGGCAGCUACUGCACAUGAAUAAGCUCUGCAGGCUGUACCCUGGCCUGGCGUCUCAGCUGGGGAUUUGGAGAGCAUUAGGGUUAGUGGAAAUUAAACCCAGGGUGGGAGGCUCAGGCCGGUAGGCUGAGGCCCUGGACAGUGUCCCAGAGCAGGAGGAUGAGGAGGUCCUGAGGCUUCUCAGAGCCAGAGUAGGAGAAUAGCAAGCCUUAGGAGUCCUUAGGGUCCUGAAACAGGCUGGCGACAAAAGCAGGACUUUGCAGUGCCUAGGAGACCCCCUGCUGGGGAGGGGUGAAGAAGAGCAGAGCCUCCCAGGGCCUCCCAUCCGACAAUCCCUGCUGUCCUUGUUCUGUACACUUCAUCUUUUCCAGGAGCUUCGAUUCCCAGGACCAGGCAAACAACCAUGAGAAAGAUGUGAGAGAACAUCUCCCUGGAACGUGACUACUCGAGGGAGUAGCAGGACCUGACACGGAGCAGGGGUUCCAGGGAGCAAGGCUUUGUUACCCUGUAGUCAUUUGGAAGAAGGCCUUAGUAUCAGGUCUGGGUUGGUUAAAAGUCUAGUUCAGCCACUUAGUAGCCAUGUGACCCUAAAUGAGCAAAUUUCUCUAAGGUUCUAACUGAACCUUAGUUUCAUCAUCUACAAAGUGGCAACAAUAAUGAUCUCACAGAGUUAUGGAGAUUCAGAAAUCAGGAAUGUGGAGUAUUUCCGGAACAGAAAGUGCUAUUUACUGGCAUUCUUUUCCAGGGCCCAGCCCCCCAGGGGAUGACUCCAGGCCGCUCACCUUUCUAAAAAAGCAGGCCUCCCUUCUAGGCUCCUAUAAUUGGCCUGCACUACUGUGAUAGUGGUAAGAAGUUACGAUAUCAGCCAGGCAGUAAGUAAUCGGCUGCUGUCUUCCUGUUGACAGCCUCGGGGGAAAUGCCUUGGUUCCAAGGAGUGCAUCUAUUGGAUGGCAGACCGUAAGUCUUCGGGGUGAACAUGCAGGCAUGCCUUAGUUCCGGCCCAGGCUGCUGCAGUGUCAUUGUUGACAACCUCACCUGCAGUCCUGCCCUCUCCAACCGAUUCCACAGACUGCAGCAAAGUGAUUUUGAAAAACCAGAACGAUGACUCUUGUCCCUGCUUAAAUACCUACCAUGGCUUCCCAUUGCCCACAGGAUAAAGCUUAAAUUCUUCAAAAUGCUGUGGAAGCCCCUGGAGAUCUCCACACCCCUGCAUUCCUCUCCAGCUUCAUUUCUUACCCCACUACCCUCACUCAUCACUCUCGGACUGAACUGUCUACUUGUGGAAAAUGCCAAGCAUCUUGCAGGGAUGAGGGGACCGGGGCAGAAGUGACCUUCCCAGAGCCACAUGGCCAGGGAGUGCUGGAGCCGGGCUCUGAGGCCAGAGCCAUCACACCACCUAGCCUCGGUGGAAAUGGGAUGCUGAUUCCAGUAAGAUAAUGUUUAAGACUGCAACACUGUGAUGUGGGUAAGUGCUGAAUGCUCUGGCUUUCUGAGUUAAACAUUCACUUGCAGCGAAAUGAUGAUCUGAGGGGGAACCACAGUAAUGCUGUCCCCAGGAGCACGAUCUCCAGGGAGGGGGCACCGCAGGCUGACACAGGUGGCCCAUGGAGUCAUGCUCCACAGUUCUGGUCCAGACCAGCAAAAUCAUGACUUGAGACCACUGUGCUCUUGAGUUCCAUGUCUCAUCCUCCACCCUUUCACCACAUGCAAUUCUCGAAGAAGCAGGAAAAAAUAACCUGCUUGUAAAUAAUCAUCAGCUUCAUUUUCUUAGGAGUCAUGUUUCUUGCCAGACCCUUAACUGUACUAUUUUUUUCCUGUGUAAACCAGUAUUACGUGCUACAUUAAGUAUUUUUAGUGUAAAAGUUACCAUCACAUUAAGAAAAUUUAGAAUGUGGAAAAAUAUAGAAAAAGUCACCUCUAAUUUUACCAGUCACAAAAUAAGCCUAUUUGUAUAUGUUCUUUCCCCUGCCGUGCAUGUGUAUGUGUAUAUAUACAUAUGAACUUGCAUCUUGGUAGUUUUUUUUUUUUUUAUAUAAAGAUUUUAUUUAUUUGUCAGAGACAGCGAGAGCAUAAGCAGGGGGAG